GUAGGUGGCAAGCGUUGUCCGGAAUUAUUGGGCGUAAAGCGCGCGCAGGCGGUUCUUUAAGUCUGAUGUGAAAGCCCACGGGCUCAACCGUGGAGGGUCAUUGGAAACUGGAGAACUUGAGUACAGAAGAGGAAAGCGGAAUUCCACGUGUAGCGGUGAAAUGCGUAGAGAUGUGGAGGAACACCAGUGGCGAAGGCGGCUUUCUGGUCUGUAACUGACGCUGAGGCGCGAAAGCGUGGGGAGCAAACAGGAUUAGAUACCCUGGUAGUCCACGCCGUAACGAUGAGUGCUAAGUGUUAGGGGGUUUCCGCCCCUUAGUGCUGCAGCUAACGCAUUAAGCACUCCGCCUGGGGAGUACGGCCGCAAGGCUG
rnacentral:rRNA from 1 species